rnacentral:rRNA from 1 species
CCUACGGGAGGCAGCAGUGGGGGAUAUUGCACAAUGGGGGAAACCCUGAUGCAGCGACGCCGCGUGGGCGAAGAAGUAUUUCGGUAUGUAAAGCCCUAUCAGCAGGGAAGAAGAAAUGACGGUACCUGAGUAAGAAGCACCGGCUAAAUACGUGCCAGCAGCCGCGGUAAUACGUAUGGGGCAAGCGUUAUCCGGAUUUACUGGGUGUAAAGGAAGCGCAGGCGGCACGGCAAGCCUGAUGGGAAAGCCCGCGGCCCAACCGCGGGACUGCAUUGGGAACUACCGGGCUGGAGUGCCGGAGAGGUCGGCGGAAUUCCUCGUGUAGCGGUGCUAUGCGUAGCUCUUAGGUGGACCACCAGUGGCGCAGGCGGCCUACUGGACGGUGACUGACGCUGAGGCUCGACAGCGUGGGGAGCACACAGGAUUAGAUACCCCAGUAGUC